ACACACACAAUAUAACGUCAGUUCUGCCGUCAAAAAUAAUUUACAUUUAUUUUCCCAUCAGCUGAAGUCCAGGUUCUGGUCACAGUCACACCAAUAAAUGAGUUUGAGCCCCAGAUUGUGGGUCCGCUGAUGCUGCCCAUCCCAGAAGAUGUCCGUCGAGGGGCUUUAAUAGGAGUAGUGAAUGCAAUAGAUAGAGACUGGCCCUUUAAUUCACUCAGACUGUCAUUCCCAGGAGGAGACUCGGCUUUCACUAUCGAUCCAGACGGAGGGCAGCUGUAUUUGAGUACAGAACUGGAUUUUGAAGAAAAGCAGUUUUACAGAGUUAAAAUUCAGGCUGUUGAUUUUGACCAGGACGUCGACAAAACCGACCAAAGAACAGGAGCCACUGAUAUUAUCAUACAAGUUCAGAAUGUAAAUGACAAUGCUCCGGUGUGUAACCCACUCUCAUAUAAAUCCAUCAUCUUUUCCACCCUUGCUGCCGGUGUUCCCAUUGUCACCCUCAGCUGUACAGACCCUGAUAGAGAUCCUCUAAUGGCCACCAUCACCAAUGGUGCUGUCGUGGACCGAUUCCAAAUGAACGGUCUGAGUCUGACCUCUAAAAACCUCUUCUCCUACAUGCCAGAUGGUGUGUACGAUGCCACCAUGUUUGAGGUCACCAUUCAGGUGUCUGAUGGGAAAUACAGCACUGAUGUGGUCGCUUACAUCACGGUCGUACCACAAAACACACUACUACCACUAAGGGGGCGCCACAGGUAAUUACAGUUUUGAAGGAGUUUUGGGAUCCAGAACCUUGGUUUGUGGCUGUGCUCACUGUCACAGGAGUUUUACUGCUGCUGUCACUGGGACUGAUCAUCUGGAUUGUGCAUAUACGCACUAAUGUGAAUAUCAAAGGCUCUGAGAAUCAUUCAGCAUCGGAUGAUAAGGUGUCACUAGGUGGCAGCGUCAGUCUUCCAAAUGUCAGUGUUGAAGAUGACACAAUGAGGUUUGAUGGAAGAGCUCAAGACCCAGGUUAGAUUACAAUGUGUGCAUAUGUGGGAAUGUUAUUACAAGACAUUUUGAUAAAUCAUUAAAGACGUGGUCAUUUAUGUAACCGAGGUCAUCUUUCAACAGUAACAGGAUGGAGUUACUCGUUUAACUCUGUGACGGGGGAGCGGCGCUGGCUUGAGCCUCGACAUCCUAUUUGAUCUAUGAUGAAAAAUAAAUCUUAAUGUUCUUUAUUGAAUUAAUUAAUUUUCAUAUAGAUCUCUCUAGGUAAUGGAUAGCAGAACCAGGAAGAGCUAGAACACCAUCUCCUAAAAUUAGAAAUGUUCCUGUUGAUGCCCUACAGGAAGUCCAUAAAUGUGGUUUUAAUUAGUAUGAUUAGAUAUUACAAUUAUUGUAUGUGACACUAUUGAUAUGUACUACAUAUGU